GUUCCCUCCCUGGCAGCAGACCUCCAGCAAGCAGACAUGCCUGGGUUCCAGUGAGCUGCCCAUUCUGCUGCCCUCCGAGUUCACAGGUGAGGGAGAGUCAGCUCCGAGAGGAUACUUGGGCAACUACAGGGAUGCGACGAAGCAGGAUCUGAACCCAGACCCCUUGAUCUCCAGCCCUCAGGCAGCUGUUUCUAUUUGUGGGACCCAUGAGGAACACAGGAGCCACUGAAGGAGGGGUUCAUCUGAAGGCGAGUGAGUCAGCCUGUGCUAGAAGACUGGGAUGGGGCUAGCCAAGUUCACCUGUAACUCCAGCACUUGGGAGGCGGAGGCAAGAGAAGCCCUGUGAAUCUGCGGCCAGUCUGGGCUACGUGGUGAGGCUUUCCCAGCUACACAUGGGAACUAACAACAGCGGCCAUCAUGGGUUAUUCUGAGGAGUAGUUGGCUCAUCACAAGGCACUGAACAUCAUCUAGCCAUAGUGGAUACAGCCAAGCCACAGAGGUGCCACAGUUCUAGAAAUGGUGGCUCUUGGAGGAGCUGGGUCAGGAUUUCAGCCUGGGCAUUCCGAUUCCAGAGGCUGCUGAUCUUCUGGACACCCACCACCACCGCGCCUCCCUGCGGCUCCCACUAGAACAAGGACAGCAGAGGAGACUGAAGGAGAGGAGACACUGGGGUCAAGGAUGCAGAUUUUCCAUCCAGCUCAAAAGAAGUGAGCCUGGGAUAACUGGCGUCCAUGGGAGGUGUUUGGUCCUUCACCAACUCUUAACGGACACAUUUUAAAUAUUGGAUAAUACAUUUUUAAAGCACAGCAGGUUCCCAUAACCCAGCAAGAGCAACUCCAGAGAGGCCCAAGGAAGUUCUGGAAUAAAAUCAUAGCUAACCUCCA
rnacentral:lncRNA from 1 species